AUUGAACGCUGGCGGCAUGCCUUACACAUGCAAGUCGAACGGUAACAGGUUAAGCUGACGAGUGGCGAACGGGUGAGUAAUAUAUCGGAACGUGCCCAGUCGUGGGGGAUAACGUAGCGAAAGCUACGCUAAUACCGCAUACGAUCUACGGAUGAAAGCGGGGGAUCGCAAGACCUCGCGCGAUUGGAGCGGCCGAUAUCAGAUUAGGUUGUUGGUGAGGUAAAAGCUCACCAAGCCUACGAUCUGUAGCUGGUCUGAGAGGAUGACCAGCCACACUGGAACUGAGACACGGUCCAGACUCCUACGGGAGGCAGCAGUGGGGAAUUUUGGACAAUGGGCGAAAGCCUGAUCCAGCCAUUCCGCGUGCAGGAUGAAGGCCCUCGGGUUGUAAACUGCUUUUGUACAGAACGAAAAGGUUUCUACUAAUACUAGGAGCUCAUGACGGUACUGUAAGAAUAAGCACCGGCUAACUACGUGCCAGCCGCCGCCGUAA
rnacentral:rRNA from 1 species